rnacentral:rRNA from 1 species
UACGUAGGAGGCAAGCGUUGUCCGGAAUUACUGGGCGUAAAGCGCACGUAGGCGGAUUUGUAAGUCAGGGGUGAAAUCCCGAGGCUCAACCUCGGAACUGCCUUUGAUACUGCAAAUCUCGAGUCCGGAAGAGGUGAGUGGAAUUCCUAGUGUAGAGGUGAAAUUCGUAGAUAUUAGGAAGAACACCAGUGGCGAAGGCGGCUCACUGGUCCGGUACUGACGCUGAGGUGCGAAAGCGUGGGGAGCAAACAGG